rnacentral:rRNA from 1 species
CGAAAGCCUGACGGAGCAAUACCGCGUGAGGGAGGAAGGCUCUUGGGUUGUAAACCUCUUUUAUCAGGGAAGAAGAUCUGACGGUACCUGAUGAAUCAGCAUCGGCUAACUCCGUGCCAGCAGCCGCGGUAAUACGGAGGAUGCAAGCGUUAUCCGGAUUUAUUGGGCGUAAAGCGUCCGCAGGUGGCUAAUCAAGUCCGCUGUUAAAGCGCAGGGCUUAACUCUGUACAGGCGGUGGAAACUGGAUAGCUAGAGUAUGGUAGGGGUAGCGGGAAUUCCCAGUGUAGCGGUGAAAUGCGUAGAUAUUGGGAAGAACACCAGCGGCGAAAGCGCGCUACUGGGCCAUUACUGACACUCAUGGACGAAAGCU